UCGCGGUGGCGGAGCGUCGUUUGCGACGCCCAACACACAAAACAAGCGGUGAGUGCUUUGGGGUGGGGUGACUGCGUACCUUUUGUAUAAUGGGUCAGCGACUUAUAUUCUGUAGCAAGGUUAACCGAAUAGGGGAGCCGGAGGGAAACCGAGUCUUAAUUGGGCGUUAAGUUGCAGGGUAUAGACCCGAAACCCGGUGAUCUAGCCAUGGGCAGGUUGAAGGUUGGGUAACACUAACUGGAGGACCGAACCGACUAAUGUUGAAAAAUUAGCGGAUGACCUGUGGCUGGGGGUGAAAGGCCAAUCAAACCGGGAGAUAGCUGGUUCUCCCCGAAAGCUAUUUAGGUAGCGCCUCGUGAACUCAUCUUCGGGGGUAGAGCACUGUUUCGGCUAGGGGGUCAUCCCGACUUACCAACCCGAUGCAAACUGCGAAUACCGAAGAAUGUUAUCACGGGAGACACACGGCGGGUGCUAACGUCCGUCGUGAAGAGGGAAACAACCCAGACCGCCAGCUAAGGUCCCAAAGUCACAGUUAAGUGGGAAACGAUGUGGGAAGGCUCAGACAGCCAGGAUGUUGGCUUAGAAGCAGCCAUCAUUUAAAGAAAGCGUAAUAGCUCACUGGUCGAGUCGGCCUGCGCGGAAGAUGUAACGGGGCUAAACUGUGCACCGAAGCUGCGGCAGCGACGCUUAUGCGUUGUUGGGUAGGGGAGCGUUCUGUAAGCCUGCGAAGGUGUCCUGUGAGGGAUGCUGGAGGUAUCAGAAGUGCGAAUGCUGACAUAAGUAACGAUAAUGCGGGUGAAAAGCCCGCUCGCCGGAAGACCAAGGGUUCCUGUCCAACGUUAAUCGGGGCAGGGUGAGUCGACCCCUAAGGCGAGGCCGAAAGGCGUAGUCGAUGGGAAACGGGUUAAUAUUCCCGUA
rnacentral:rRNA from 1 species